GUCGCUUAGCUGAUUUUUUCCCUAUAUUCUCUAUUGGUGCUUGUUGUUUAGCACUUUUUCCUGGGGUCAGCCUGGGCUGUGAUCUAUUUGCAGCGUAGGUCUGGAAGGGAGUUGAAGUUCAUCCCAAGUGUGGUGUGUUCAAUCCAGAAGCAUGUGUGUUCUAGCACCUUCAGCUAAGCGUUCAUAGGGACACUACAAGAAAUGUGGGAAUUCCCGUCCCAUUUUUACCGGCAGCCCGUGAUGUGGGAAACCACAACCGGUGAAAUAAACGCUCCUGCCCUCUCUCUCUCUCUCACGAUAAAAAGUUGUUUUCCCCCUUUUUUAACUUCUUACAUCAAAAGCCCUCCUUUUCCAAACCCUAGCCCUCUUCUUCUCCAAACCCCUGAUCAUUGCUAUCUCCAAACUCUAACCCUCCUCUUCUCUAAACUUUCGCAGUCGCCUGCCGCACCACCAUCACAAGCAGAGUACCAUGUCUGUUCUACUUUCUACUCCAAACCCUAACCCAUCAACCGAUAUGGAUUCUUGAUGUAAAUCUCGCUAUUCCGAGCUCUCUGGUUUGAUUUCAGCUGAAUCAAGCUCCAGUGGUUGAGCGAAAGCUCUGUCGUUCGAUUACGAGAAGAGUUACAGGGGAUUUUGGGAGAAAUCUAUAGAUUUUGAGCUCCUUUUGCAUUGGUUUUGGCCGAAAUGGAGAAUCCAGAGGUUUGAAAUUGGGAUUUGUGAGAGAAACUUAGAGAUUCAAGGAGUUUCUGUGUAGCGAAGCUCUCUACGGCUUUAAUGGCGGACCUGCAGCAUCCUUAUGCAGUUCUUUGAAGGAAAUGCUUGCAGAUUUCAGAUCUCUCGUUGCUUCUUUUAAAGAGGUCUAGACAAUCAAGGUUUGAAGGGUUUCUCGCCAACUGACAUAUCCAGGCUACGUCAUCUGCUGAGCAUGUAUAUUCUUCAAAAUUCACCCAUUUCUUUUUAUCUGGAGCCUUGAAUAAGAAUAAACUUGAGUGGAAACAGCAUCCAUGGACCUAUUCCAUCCUCAAUUGGAACAAUUGCUGGGUUGGAAACUUUAAGCAGAACCCCCUUAUUUUUCAGAAGAUCAAUGCUUUGAGUGCUAAAACCAAGGUGAAUUCUAUCAUAAGCAUGGUUCUCAAGAAUCAUUUUCAUUUAGACUAUCCUAAGCAUCCCACCCCUGGCUUGGAAGACAGGAAAGUAUUAGAGAGGACAUAAUGUGGAUGGAUAGGAUCAUUCUACUUGUAAAAUAUUUGCAUGCUGGCCUAUGAGGUGUGGCUGGAACUAAUGAAUGGUCUACAUCCAUUGAUUAGUUUGUCCAUGCAUCAACAUGCAUUUCUUAGAGCCAUGAGAGCCACUGAUCUUCUCUCAUAAUACAUGUUCAAUCUUUAUUUUUUAAUUACUUGAAGGCAUUCCUCCAAAGCUUAUUUGGUUUCUCAAGAGCCAUUUUGCAAAGCAAAAGCCAACUGCAUUUGGGAAGCAGUUAAUAUCUGGGCUCGUGAGUCACGAAGGCAAAAAACAUUGUUACGCAGGCUUCUUGAUGAAACUGAUUCCGACAUACAGUUGAAAGUUUUAAAAAACUGAUUUUCUUCCUAGGGGAUCUGGUUGGAGUUCUAAAUUUUAUAUUUAUAUUUAUUUUGAAUUUUUUCUAUGGUGGAUCUUGUGGUUUCCUUGUAGGGAUUGCCAGAUCGAUCGUUGGUUCUACAGUUGCACAUGAUGGAUGAAGGACAGCCAGUGUAUGCCGAGUUUCUACAGUAAUACAAGUGUAACUUCAAUGGUAACAAGUUGACAAGGAGGGCUUGCAUCUUUAAAUUGAAAAACAAUCCUUCAUUUUGACAACCAGAGUACUUUUUGCUGCACUGAAUUGGUUUUCCGUUUGUGAUGAGUGUUAAAGAUGGUGCAUCGUUUGUAUAUUUUAAUUUAUCCACUUAUUCAUCUAUAGAUAAUGAGUUUAUAUAUGAAUUUAUAUAUGAAGACAGGGUUUUUCAAUAUGCUUCAUCUAGCUCGGUAGGUGCAUUGGAAAUACUUUUAACACCCUCUUCAUGAAUUUGAUUCCUUUUUAUUUUUAUUUUUUCUUUUCUUUUGCUUUUUCAUGUUUAGCCAUCAAUUCUAGACUUCCAACUCCUUGACUUCCUCAAUUUCUUAUGAAUGUCAUGUGACCAUUUAUAAUGAGGCUCCAUCAUUUGAAAUAUCUAAAUGCAGUACAGUUAAUUCCAUUAGUUGAUACGUUCAGUUACAUAUUUUUUCAGACACACAUGUUACCGUUGACAUAGGAAAUAGAAGAUGGUGAGGCUUAUUAGUUGUUUGUCGUAAGUUCCAGGCGAAGUUCUUGGUAUUCUUGGUCAUUGUACCAUGGGCUUUAGAUUUUAUGGUUCAUGACUACAUUCUCAUGCCAUUUCUAGACAGGUUUACCCAUCCUGUUUGGUGGACAUUGAAACGGACUACUCGGCUUUAAGCAAGCGGUAUCCAAAAUUAUCAAUAUCCCCGGAAUUCACCAAGAUUGUUCUGCACCGGCCUAAGGGAAACCUGAAUCUGUCAUUAUACACUCCUAUCAGAUUUAAGCAUGACCUCAUUGAAGUAGAUGCUAGAGAGGAGCCAAAAGAGCCUUCUGCAGAGCCAUUGGUUGAGGACCAGGAAAUCCCAAAUGCAAAAGCACUGUAUGGAACUCAAAGGGACCAAACAUACUGCUAGUUGAUACUCUUCCUAGUGAAGUCGACAAGAACUUGCUGGAAUGUGCAGAGACCAAACAUACUGCUAGAUGAUACUCUUCCUAGUGAAGUCGACAAGAAUUUGCUGGAAUGUGCAAGGACCAAAUGUACCGCUAGAUGAUACUCCGGAGUAGUUGGAAUGUGCCAGCAAUGGUGUGGCGUAGCAAUUCCCAUGCAAGGAAGCUCCAGUGAUUCGAAGAAUCUUCUCUCAAUCAUUCAGUUCAUGGAGCAGCUCUGGCAUUGAGAUGAGUCCCUGAUGUAGAGCAGGUCACAGACACUUUCAUGGCAAAGAUGGACCAAUGAAGGCCCGAUCGGAGGUGGAAGUGAUUAGGACCGUUGGAACCUUAAAAACAGUAUUAUCUCGCAAACUGGAAUGAAUUUUCAACAUGUCAUGUGAUUUUGGGAUAGGAGAAGCUACUUUAGCCAAUCAACCCUGCCAGGUUGCCCACGCCGGAUUUGCAAGAUUCCAUCAAAUCAACAGUCAAAAGUCCAUUUUAUUUUUCGUUUUUACUAUAAAUAAUAAGUAUUAACUUUUGAUCAUUUGAGUUGUAAGAGUCGUGCCCAAUAUGAAAAGGGCUUAGAAAAAUUAGGAGAAUAAUAUGGUUAAGCCAAAUUGGCACUUACUAUUUUUCGCCGAAAACCAUGAAGUCAAGUUUACUAAAACUAGGAAUGGUGACCGUCUGUAAAUAAUAAGUUUAUUAUUUAUUGUAAGUCACUUUUUUAGGGAGUUUGACUUUAAAACUUUGUCUUAGGAUUGAGCUUUAUUUAAAGGACUGUAAUUUUGUUUUUA